rnacentral:rRNA from 1 species
ACGAACGCUGGCGGCGUGCUUAACACAUGCCAGUCGCACGGAAAGGCCCUGCUUUUGUGGGGUGCUCGAGUGGCGAACGGGUGAGUAACACGUGAGUAACCUGCCCUUGACUUUGGGAUAACUUCAGGAAACUGGGGCUAAUACCGGAUAGGAGCUCCUGCUGCAUGGUGGGGGUUGGAAAGUUUCGGCGGUUGGGGAUGGACUCGCGGCUUAUCAGCUUGUUGGUGGGGUAGUGGCUUACCAAGGCUUUGACGGGUAGCCGGCCUGAGAGGGUGACCGGCCACAUUGGGACUGAGAUACGGCCCAGACCCCUACGGGAGGCAGCAGUGGGGAAUAUUGCACAAUGGGCGGAAGCCUGAUGCAGCAACGCCGCGUGCGGGAUGACGGCCUUCGGGUUGUAAACCGCUUUCGCCUGUGACGAAGCGUGAGUGACGGUAAUGGGUAAAGAAGCACCGGCUAACUACGUG